rnacentral:lncRNA from 1 species
GUUAGCGAGUUGGGCGCUAACUGGUGCGGGCUGGGCACCGGUGUCCCUUCGCGUGCUGGAACGCGCCCGGGGACCCCAAAGCCCCGCCUGGCAGCCUCUGCUCCGGACUCCAGCCGAGAGUUUGCCAACUCCCCGGGGAUAUGCAAAUAGAGCCCGGCCGGACGCGCCCCGCCUGCAGCCCCCGAGACUGUCGCUUCUCACCCGCCCAGGCUCGGCCGCAAGGACCUGCGGACCUGCUUUGACGCCGGGGACUCAAUAUUCCCCGGCAUGAAAUGGGGCCACAGGCGUGCUCCACGUGCACUGUGGUACAGCCCGGCCCUAGUUUUCUUCCUCUCGGUGUUCCUGGCGUUAGGGGUGAACGCCCUCUGUAAACUGUGGAGUGCCGUGCCUGCCCGCCACCCAUCUGUUGUCCCUGCAAACCGGCGGGGAGGUGACCGGAGCCUCUCCGCAGGACCUUUUCUCACGCAAGUCCAAGCCUCCCUGGAGUUGGAAUGCCUUCCAGUCCCACGUGGACUUCUAGGCAUUCAGCUCACGGAGCCCUUUCUCUAAACCUCUUGUGGGUUUCUAUCUCCCGUUCAGCCACUCAGCAAACCAUCAGCGAACGCCUACUGUGUGCAGACACUGUGCCAGGCACCAGGGUGAAAUGAAAACAGACCCUUUGUCUGGGAGCUGAAACAUUAAACACGUAAUCGCAUGAGACCAGGGCAUGUGUCUAUAACCGUGGUGAGGGCUCUGAGAAGUCGGGCCGCCUGGGCGCUGCGGAGGGCCGCCGAGCCCGACUCCCAUGUAUACUCUGCCUCUGCUAGCACAUACUUCUCCCUUUGGUGAAUCAGAAAACCGGUGUUCCUUCUGGGUGGAAGACUGUGCAAAAAAGGGUGCCCUCCUCUCCCUGGGCCAAAGCAGAGCUAGCGGAACCAGGGCCCGUGGAUUUCAACCCAUACUCCUGCUCAACCACAGGAAGAUAAGCCGCGGUCCCUCCCAGGCUGGGAACACACUGCCUAGAGGAUUCUGCACAAAAUUGGAGGCUGGUGAGGUCUGCUCGACCCUAAGCGAAAACCAAGAAGCUACGGGUGUUGGACUUCUGUGUCUGCUACAAGCCUGAAGCCUUCUUGCUCCUCCUCUCCUUGGAGAUCGUCAAGAUCAUCAUACAUUUUCAGCAAAGCCUGCCUGACCUACCUGAACAGCCUAAGCUCCCCAGUUAUGUGACACCUUAGCAGUGCCUUUCCUUGCCAGUCACCAUGUUUACAGUUACUGGGUGAUUCUUUGAUAUCUGUCUCCUCCAAUGGACCAUAAGCCUCAUAAGGACAGAGACCAUUGGGUUUUGUCUGUCUGUUUGUUUGUUUGUUUUCUCCAGCAUAUCCUCAAUGCCUAAUACAGUGCCUGGCCCAAAACAGGUCCUCAACAAACAUUUGGGAAAUGAAUGAAUGAAUGAAUGAAUCAAUCAAUCAAGCACUCACCUCUUUAAAACCUGCACUCAGGAAACUCAUUAACACUGGCGUCAACGACCCAAAUUGCUAUCUCUACCAGGUUGGCCAUUUAACAAGGCUCAGACUUCUACUAUAGAGGAAGAGAACAAAAGUCCUGGAGCUGAAAUUUCCCCAACUGGCUCUAAUCAGCCUGGAUCAGUGCAGACUUUGCCCUUAAUUUCCUCUGUGGCUUCAGGCAGGUUGCUCAAAUUCUCAUCAGGUUUAUGAUGUAUGAGUCCAUGAGUGCAUGUGGUAGCAGGAAUUAGAGAUGUCUAGGUAAACAUAGAUUAUGGUUGCGUUAAAUAAAGCAGUUGAACCAGAUGCUCUUUGAGGUCUUUUUUAAUUCCAAAAUUCUGGAACCGGACCCAAUCUUGCAGGGUAGGAUGGGAGAAAGGGAGCCAGACACGGAACACCACUCAGGUGGUUUAGGCCAGUGUGCGCAUUUAGUGGCAUUUCAGCUCCUAGUCUGAACAAAAAGAAAAGAUUUGCAGGAUGCCUCUGUGAAAUGACCUCUAAACAGAAGAUUGCCUAUCUCUCUCUUAGAGUCUACUUUGUCAUUUCCACAAUGAGAUGCCAAUUAAACCAAUCCUGCCACCUAUAAAGGAAUGCUAUUGAAUCAAGACAGUGGCUGUGGAAGGUGCCCCAAGUACAGUAUGUUUUGAAAGAGCAGACGGAGAAGGCCAUAAAUCUCCAAGCGUAAAUACUCUGCGUCAUUGGGUGGGCGCAUCAAACAGAGUAUUAGUCAGAACGGUCAGAUGCAAAUAUCAGGUGCAUAGGGAGCAAUCUUCCUCCCAGGACUGCCACUAAGAUAAAUAUCAGGGCUUGGGAAAAGAGCGUGCUUCCUGUUUAAUUACUUUUCAUUUU